rnacentral:rRNA from 1 species
UGGCGGCAGGCUUAACACAUGCAAGUCGAGCGGUAGCAGAUCUAGCUUGCUGAUGCUGACGAGCGGCGGACGGGUGAGUAACGCGUAGGAACCUGCCCAGUAGUGGGGGAUAGCCCGGGGAAACUCGGAUUAAUACCGCAUACGCUCUACGGAGGAAAGAGGGGGCUUCGGCUCUCGCUAUUGGAUGGGCCUGCGUGAGAUUAGCUAGUUGGUGAGGUAAUGGCUCACCAAGGCGACGGUCUCUAGCUGGUCUGAGAGGAUGAUCAGCCACACUGGGACUGAGACACGGCCCAGACUCCUACGGGAGGCAGCAGUGGGGAAUAUUGCACAAUGGGCGCAAGCCUGAUGCAGCCAUGCCGCGUGUGUGAAGAAGGCUUUCGGGUUGUAAAGCACUUUCAGUGGGGAGGAAGGCCUCGUAGUUAAUAGCUGCGAGGAUUGACGUUACCCACAGAAGAAGCACCGGCUAACUCCGUG